rnacentral:rRNA from 1 species
CAGCCGCCACGGUAAUACGGAGGGGGCUAGCGUUGUUCGGAAUUACUGGGCGUAAAGCGCACGUAGGCGGCUUGGUAAGUUAGAGGUGAAAGCCUGGAGCUCAACUCCAGAAUUGCCUUUAAGACUGCCGAGCUAGCAGGUGAGAGAGGUAAGUGGAAUUCCGAGUGUAGAGGUGAAAUUCGUAGAUAUUCGGAAGAACACCAGUGGCGAAGGCGGCUUACUGGCUCAUACUGGACGCUGAGGUGCGAAAGCGUGGGGAGCAAACAGGAUUAGAUACCCGUGUAGUCCCUGUCUCUUAUAU